CCUACGGGAGGCAGCAGUGGGGAAUAUUGGACAAUGGGGGCAACCCUGAUCCAGCAAUGCCGCGUGAGUGAUGAAGGCCUUAGGGUUGUAAAGCUCUUUUACCAGGGAUGAUAAUGACAGUACCUGGAGAAUAAGCUCCGGCUAACUCCGUGCCAGCAGCCGCGGUAAUACGGAGGGAGCUAGCGUUGUUCGGAAUUACUGGGCGUAAAGCGCACGUAGGCGGUUACUCAAGUCAGAGGUGAAAGCCCGGGGCUCAACCCCGGAACUGCCUUUGAAACUAGGUAACUAGAAUCCUGGAGAGGUGAGUGGAAUUCCGAGUGUAGAGGUGAAAUUCGUAGAUAUUCGGAAGAACACCAGUGGCGAAGGCGGCUCACUGGACGAGGUAUUGACGCUGAGGUGACGAAAGCGGUAGGGGAGACAAACGAGGAUUAGACUACCCGUGGUACGUCCACGACCGUAAACGAUGAAUAACUAGCUGGUCCGGGACACAGUGGUUGUUUGGGGUCGGCGCAGCUAACGCUAAUUAAGUUAUCCGCCGUAGGGGAGUUACGGUCGACAAGUAAUUAAAACUCGAAAGGAAUUGGACGG
rnacentral:rRNA from 1 species